UACGAAGGGGGCUAGCGUUGUUCGGAAUUACUGGGCGUAAAGCGCACGUAGGCGGAUAUUUAAGUCAGGGGUGAAAUCCCAGAGCUCAACUCUGGAACUGCCUUUGAUACUGGGUAUCUUGAGUAUGGAAGAGGUAAGUGGAAUUGCGAGUGUAGAGGUGAAAUUCGUAGAUAUUCGCAGGAACACCAGUGGCGAAGGCGGCUCACUGGUCCGGUACUGACGCUGAGGUGCGAAAGCGUGGGGAGCAAACAGG
rnacentral:rRNA from 1 species